GCUUACUUGAAAUUUUCAUGUAAGAAUUAGGUAAUCUAGAGAUUGUUUUCAGCUAAGAAACAAUCUCUUUUUUUUUUUUUUAAUAU
rfam:Prochlorococcus marinus str. MIT 9312, complete genome.